rnacentral:rRNA from 1 species
GACGAACGCUGACGGCGUGCUUAACACAUGCAAGUCGAAGGGAGUGGCGAACGGGUGAGUAACACGUGAGUAACCUGCCCUUUUCUUUGGGAUAAGCCUGGGAAAAUGGGACUAAUACUUGAUGGAGUGGGAUGGGCUCGCGUCUUAUCAGCUCGUUGGUGGGGUGCGGGUUUACCAAGUCUUUGACGGGUAGCCGGCCUGAGAGGGUGGUCGGUCACACUGGGACUGAGAUACGGCGCAGACUCCUACGUGGUGCAGCAGUGUGGGGUAGUGCACAAUGGACGAAAGUCUUAUGCAGCGACGUCGUGUUGGGGAUGAAGGCCUUCGGGUUGUAACCUCCUUUCGCCCGCGGAGUGGUAGUGGGUAAAGAAGCGCCGGCUAACUACGUGCCAGCAGCCGCGGUAAUUC